CUUUACUUUUGUUUACCCUCUCUUCCUUGGCCUUCUUUCUUGCUCUUAUCAAUGGAAUCAAAACAUCUUCUUGGCACCUUCGAAGGGAAAACAACUCCCUCCAACGGUUGCGCAACACGAUCUUUGUCACUCCUGGCCAGAAAUUGAGACUAAUAGACAAAACAUGGCAUAUUGAAAAUGUUCCAUUACACAAAUAGGACGACCGGCUUUCGCUUGAGAUUCGAAGCGAUUCUGGAGGAUUUGCAGAACCCAGUUGCGUGCAUGAGUGUAAGAUUUCACACGAGAUGGGUGGAGGAUUUCUGCUGUGAGGUUACGCCGCAGAAGUCGCCAUGUUGGACCGUAAGAGGAAGAACUAAUAGUAUGCUGAUUGCUAGUUAUAAUUUUUUUCGUAGCAAGAGCUGGUGGGCGGUCCGCAAAAACUGCGCCGCCAUGUAUUAAAGCCUCAUGAGCAAGGGUGCGAUCUGCAACGAAGAUAGCAGGGCGAGUGCCAAUACGGAGGGUAACCAUGGGGCCAAACUUGGCAUGGAGGGAUCGAAGGAUUGGCUCUAUCUUGAAGGCGGACAUGCGGAGCCAUAGUAAGUGGCCGAUGAAAGGAAAGGACAGGGGACCUGGAGGUAGGUUUUUAGAGGUUAAGAAAUUGUUGAAGAUAGUUUUCAAGAACAGAGAGACGGAAAUGGAGACAAGGAUAAGGAACCAACUUUCCAUACUGAAAAAAAUGAAGUGAUGAGUUUAGCAGUGGAAUGGACUCAGAGUGCGCGUGUAUAUACAUAGGCUAGCAAAUUGACUGAGUCUAAUUGUGGAUGCUUUUUUCGUUUCUUGUAGAUAGAAGAAUACAUCGUCUACUUUUUUUAAAAUGUUUUUUUGGACAAAAGCAGCAAAGACUCAAAAUGGGUGGAAUUCAUCGCUAGCUAGCUUGUUUGUUUUUAUGUACUACGUAUUGUAUUACGUCCUCAAUCGUGGCAGAGAGUUAUUAAGUGUUAAUUAUAUUAUUAUUAUAUAAAAGAAAUAAAGGUUUCACCGUAGCUAUUUUAUUAUUUA